rnacentral:rRNA from 1 species
UCAGGCCUAACACAUGCAAGUCGAACGGUAACGCGGGGCAACCUGGCGACGAGUGGCGAACGGGUGAGUAAUGCAUCGGAACGUGCCCGGUAGUGGGGGAUAACUGCUCGAAAGAGCAGCUAAUACCGCAUACGACCUGAGGGUGAAAGGGGGGGAUCGCAAGACCUCUCGCUAUCGGAGCGGCCGAUGUCGGAUUAGCUAGUUGGUGGGGUAAAGGCCCACCAAGGCAACGAUCCGUAGCUGGUCUGAGAGGACGACCAGCCACACUGGGA